GCGGCAGGGGGAGGGGGCGAGGCCGCUGAUUGGGCGGCGCUCGGAAGCACUUUGUUUUUUAUGCUAAUGAGGGCGGAGCGGGGCUUGUGGAUAUUUACGUUGAGGCGGGAGCCGCCGCCCUUCAUUCACCCACAUGGUCCGCGAGCCCGGCCGCCAGCGGCGGACCUGCCUUCGCGCCACUUCACCCCACCCCCCCGCCGCGGCGUCCCGCGCCGGGUGCGGGGGGCCCCGCCGGCGGAGCGGGGCGCCGGGCCUGGGGCGCGCGGGGAAGAUGGUGGCGGCGGCCGCUGACGGUAUCAGUGCAUGCAGCAAAAACAUUGAAAGGCUUUGGAUGUUGCAGCAGAACUUGCAUGGAGCUAUCAACAUUUGUAGUUAAAAGGGCAGGUGCAAAUUAGACAACUUAUCUUGGGGAGCUACUGAAGAUCUGUCACGUCAGAGUAAUGUCAAAGUGCUUACAGUGCAGGUAGUGAUAUAAGAACCUACUGCAGUGAAGGCACUUGUAGCAUUAUAUUGACAAGUGCCACUAGAUAUCUUGCAGAACUACAGAAAUUUUCAAGGUACAAUGUGGUAUUAAGUGCUUUUUGUUCUAAGGUGCAUCUAGUGCAGAUAGUGAAGUAGAUUAGCAUCUACUGCCCUAAGUGCUCCUUCUGGCAUAAGAAGUUAUAUCUUCAUCCAGUCACUCAGGCUGAUUGAGAAUAUAGAUGUUCCAAUAGCUGUUCUGCAGUCCUCUGUUAGUUUUGCAUAGUUGCACUACAAGAAGAAUGUAGUUGUGCAAAUCUAUGCAAAACUGAUGGUGGCCUGUUAUUGUCUACAUCAAGAAAGUGAAUGUUUUUUACUGCUUGUUUAUCUAUUUUGGUGGUCUUGCUUUCAUAGCAGUUCCUUCAGUUUAGUAAAUAUGACAGCUCCUGUAGUACUAAAGUGCUUAUAGUGCAGGUAGUGUUCAGUAAUCUACUGCAUUAUGAGCACUUAAAGUACUGCUAGCUGUAGAACUACAACUUCAGCAUGCCUUCCUAUCAGACUAACUUGUUUUGUUUAAUUGAACACUGUUCUCUGGUUAGUUUUGCAGGUUUGCAUCCAGCUGUAUGAUACUCUGCUGUGCAAAUCCAUGCAAAACUGACUGUGGCAGUGACAAGUCAGUGAAUAAGUGAGGAAAGUUGUACCCCUUUCUACACAGGUUGGGAUCAGUUGCAAUGCUGUGUGUGCCUGUAGUAUUGCACUUGUCCCGGCCUGUUGAGGUUGGUGGGGACACAGGCUGCAACAUCUUCAGUAGUUUGAUUAUUUUAGGAAGCUACACUGCAUUUUUCCAGAAAAUCUGAAUACCUAAUAACGUGUUUUCUGAACUGUUCCAUGUAAACUAAUGUAUGGCUGGACAUUAAAUGCCAAAGACAUUUCUGUAUUUGUAAAUUGUCUUAUUGUAUGCUUACUAAAUUAAUGUUCAAUAACAGAGUCUCGUUUUUUCUUUUGUGGAUUCCUCCUGUUGUAUUGAGUGCCUGCUUACAAAACAGUUAAUUCUCAGUAGCCAUGCUAAAGGGAAAAAUGGGUCAAAAAGCUUUUAGUUUUCAAAGAUCUUUCAUGCAAGCUUUACUUAGGCUAGCCUAAGUCUGUAGCUGACACUAAAAUUGCAUAAAGAUGUCUGCGUUUUGUCUUAGGUUUUUAGUUCACUUGUAAAAUUGUCAUAUUUUUAAGUGCUUAAACCUCUGUUCUAAAUUGGCAAUGGAACAAAUAUGUAAUUCUAACUUAAAAUUCCAUCCAAAAAUCCAUCACAGGUUCCAGAAUACCAAGCUUACAU